GCUUAGCUCAGUGGGUUAGAGCAUGGUGCUGAUAAUGCCAAGAUUGCAGGUUCGAUCCCCAUAUGGGACA